CAAAACCCGGAAGCCGGAGCGGGGGAAGUUUUGUCUCGCUUCGCGGACGCGGCAAAAACUCCGUUCAUAUAAGAAAAAGCUGGUUCAAGGAGGACGUGUCCCGUGCAACAAGCAGAACGCUUGUCAACUCCUGAACGCCACGAGGCUCAGGACAUUCCUGCUGAAGCGCGGCAACAGUGCACAUUACUGCUUCAGAGGGUGUCCCGGUUUGGAUGAUUCCAACAUAAGGAGCUUCUGGCUCAUCCAGCCAGAGACAGUCAAUUUUGAUAUCGAAGGAUGUCAUGAGACAAUUUCUUUUUCUUUUACAUUAUAUAGACACAAAUCCAGAUUUGUUGGUUCAAUUCCCACAGAUUUUUUUAUUCAAUGCAAAGUAGCCGUACUUUUUCUUCAUCAGCAAAUAUUCCUCUUUAAUUUAUGACUGUUGGAUCUUCAUCCUCACAGAGUUAGCAUGCUGCACAAGAUUCUCAAAUCCCUGUUCCUCAUCCAGGACCACAGGGAACACCAAGAGUGUCAACAUUCUUUGGGAAUGAAGUGGUCACAGCUCAGCAAGGUGUGCAAAUACCACUGAUGCCAGCAAAUCCCAAGAUGGGAGAGAAUGCAGCAUGGCAGUAGGCACAACAGUUGACUCCAUUCUACAGGCAAAUGUCCAUGGAAGCACAAGUACCUACAGCACAGACACCUACAAUGACAGAUUGGGCGGAAAUCAGGAGGAAAACAUCAAAAGAAAGAGAUUUCCUUAUGAUUGGCACAGGAGACAUUGCAAUACCAGUGAAUUAUGAUGCACAGGGUCAAAAUCCAAGAUGGGAAUGAUUAGAUCAUGAUGUAAUCAAAGAUCUAAUCAAAGCAAUCAGAGAUAAUGGACUAGGAUCUUCAUAUUUCAAACAGCUUUUAAAAAGAACCUUCGACAUAUAUGAUUUGAUACCAUAUGAUCUCAGGUCCCUUGUGUCAAUGAUUCUCACAGAUACGCAAGCCCUCGUAUGGGACACAAGACGAAGAGCUCUUGGUGAGCUGAAAGUCAGGUAUCAAGGUGGGCUAAAUGCAGCUAUCACCAUGACGCAGUUGGCAGGUGAUCCUCCUGAUUACAAUCCAGCUCAACAAGCAAGAUUUCCACGAGAGGUGUCGAGCAACAUCAAGGAAACAGCAUGAAAAGCAAUUAUUCCGACUGCACCAGCAGGAGUUCAUGAAACCAUUAAUACAGAUACCAGGCAAGGUCCUUCAGAACCUUUGUCUUCAUUCACUGACUGUCUCACACAAGCUGUGGACAGACAAGUAACCGAGAAAACGGUGAAAUCAAAUCUCCUUUGAAGUCUUGCAUUUGCCAAUGCCAAUCCAGAAUGCAAACGAGUCAUCAGUGCAAUGCCAGACCAACCCUCUCUGGCAGAGAUGGUGGAAGCGUGCAGCAAGGUGGGAACACCUCAACAUGUUGCGUCCAUCUGGGGAGAAGAGAUGGAGAAAAUCAUCAAAGCACAAAAUGAGAACUUCAAAGAAGUUCUCUCAAUGUUUCAAAAGCAUACCAACUCAGAAAGACAAUGCUACAAGUGCGGGGCUCCAUGUUUUGGUUGACACUUUUUCAGGAGCAAUUUUUGCAUCAUUGCACACAGGAGAAACUGCACAACAUGCCUGUCAACAUUUUUUACAAGCAUUUGCAUCAUUACGGUUGCCACAACAAGAAUUAAACAAGAAUUAAAAACAGAUAAUGAUCCAACUUAUAUAGGGAAAGUGCUUGACAAAUUUCUGAAAAAGUGGGGUGUCAAACAUACCUUUGACAUACUCUCCCACAGGUCAAGUGAUCAUUGAAAGAACACAUCACACCCUGAAAUCCCUUUUGGACAAACACAAAAGGGGGGAGGCAGAAGCAACACCUCACAUGUGGUUGAACAAAGCUUUACAAAGUCUCUGUGACUUGGACUUCAUGGCACAUAUGUCUUAGCCCCGAAUAAAUAGAACUCAUGAGAGUUUUUUAAUUCCAGAUUUAUAACCCUCCUCUUUUAGGUCAUGUUUGCCCUUUCCCAUGCAUCCCCAUGCAUCUUCUCUGAACUCUGAGGUGCUCAUCACUUGAGAUAUAAUGAAGCAGAAUCUGGAAUUCCAUACCCACAAUCUCCUUCUUGACCUAAUCAAGUACAAUUUUUACAAAAACAUAUAAUUUGCAUUAUUAUUUCAUACUUGGUUAAAAAUUUUAAAAUUUAGAUUUUUGAAGGAAAUCGUUUUAGUAACUAGUUUUUGUACAGUGUGUUAAAACAGUUUUAAAAUAUUUUGUUGUUGUCAAGGAAUGGGAAUGUGACAUAAAGAAAAGGAAAUACAAAAUUUUCAUAAAUUUACUUGCCUAAUUCUGCCUUAUAUUCAGAGUCUGAAGCAUUAAAAUUUAAGACCUUGUUUAGAAUAAGUGUACAUUAGGGAGUGUUUCAACUGUAAAGAGCACAAAGCUAAUGGUGACAAGUCUGAGUGCAUAUGGGUAAGAGUCAGGGGGAAGGCAGACAUCCUGAUGGAAGUCUGUAACAGACUACCCAACCAGAAUGAAGAAGCAGAUGAAGUAUUCUAUAAAAUGCUUGCUAAUGAUUCAUGAUCCCUAGACCUUGUUCUUGCCAAACUUGUCAAGUAUGUAUUGGAAACUCAGAGAGAAGGCUUUCUAGGAAUUCCCUGGAUUGUGUGGAAGAGAGCUCCCUGACACAGCUGGUAAGCAAGCCUGUAAGGGCCCUGACAGGCCAGUGCACCUCUAGAUGUGCUGUUUACAAACAGAGAAGGGCUCAUGGGCAAUAUGGUGAUUGUAGGCUGUCUUGGGCACAGUGAUCACAAAAAUGAGAUGAGUUUUCAAUUCUUGGUGAAGUAAUGAAGGGGGUAAGCAAAACCUGUACCUUGGACUUCCACUGGGCAGACUUUGGCCUGAUCAGGACACUGGUUCAGAGAAGCCACCUAGGAAACAAUCAUUAACAACAAAGGAGUCAUAGGGAGGCAGGAGCAUGCUGUCCCUAUAUGGCAAAAGAAGAGUUGGUGGGGAAAAAAAGGCCUGGCUGAACAGAAUUUUCACAGGAACUCAGGGAGAAAAAAGUUUAUGAUCUUUGGGAGAAAGGGCAGGCAACUCAGGAAGAGUACAAGGAUGUCAUUAGAUGUAGAGAGGAAAUUAGAAAGGAGAAAGCUCAGUUUCAAUUCAAUAUAACCACUGCUGUGAAAGAUAAUAAAAAGUGUUUUUUACAAAUACAUCAAAAACAAAAGGAUAGCCAAGGAAGAUCUCCAUCCUUUAUUGAACAUGGGGGCAAACAUUGUAAUCAAGAAAGAGAUAAAGGCUGAAGUACUUAAGGCCUUCUUUGCUUCAGUCUUUAACAGUAAGACCAAUUAUCCUCAAGGCAACCAGCCCUCUGAGCUGGUAGACAGGAAUGGGGAGCAGAACAAAACCUUUUAUAAGGUUUUACCUGCAUACAGGUAAAACCUUAUAAAAGAAAGGCCUUAUAAAAUCAGGCCUUGCUCAGCUGAAUUAACAUCUAGCCUGUUAAUUCCCCAUGAGAAAGAAUCGUAAGAAUGAAAAUCAGUUUGCAUAAAGUUAUAGAUGGAUAAUGAGAUGAUUGGCUCUUGUAAUUAAUGGAUGAAUAUUGUGUGAAUAUUAAGAGAAGCUUUAUUGAUGUAUAGUUAUGUUAUUGUAGUUUAGAUGUCCUCUGUUCUCCCCAUAGUUCCCUUCUCACCCCACCCUCUGUUGUUGCCAUCAGACAGCCUGGGUUGUCUAGGACAAGUAGAAAGAACGCAUGCACAUGUGCCCCUUAUAUGGGACAGUUGGGAAUAGAAAUGCGUGCUGCUGGAGGGGCGUGGCAUGACAACACCUGAUCUCCACCAAUAAAUGGCAAAGAAGAACUGACUGAGAGACUUUGGAAAGGGCCAGGGCUGGCUGAUGCAACCCCCAAGGAUAUAAAAGACUGAGCAUCCAUCUUGAAGAUGAACUGGCCAGUGGUAGGCAGCCACAUGGGCAGUUCCCAGCGCUGCAAUUUUUCCUUAUUUAGUAAUUUUGUCAAAUUUUUGUUUAGAUUUAAUAAACCUUUUGAAAUUUUUGAA